AAAUUAAUUAUAGGAUAUAGCCAACUGACCCGCUCAAACCAAGGGGGCAAAGGAUUCAAACUCUUGACCUUGUGGUUACAAGUGUGGAUCUCUUGCCAUCUUGGUUGGGGUUACCCCGUUUCAAUGACUAUUUUAACUAUAAUAAUGCAAGCCAGACUUUGAAGUAAACAAAUUUGUAUAUUUUAACUAUAAUGCAUAAGUUUCUAUGACCUCACUGGCAUUGCUAAACCCUAUCACAAGUUACCCACGCUCCCAAGUUUGAAACUUGGCCAGUUUCAAGAUUCAGAAAAGUGAAGGGAAAAACGUAAAAUUGGUUGAGAGAGUAAAUGUGGGUGUA